GGCCAAGAUAGUAAGGGCACACGGUGGAUGCCUUGGCGGUAGGAGCCGAUGAAGGACGCGGCAGGCUGCGAAAAGCUCCGGGUAGUCGCCGAACAGACGCAAAUCCGGAGAUGUCCGAAUGGGGAAACCCGGCACGGGUAAAGCCGUGUCAUCCACGCCUGAACACAUAGGGCGUGGAAGGCAAGUGGGUGAACUGAAACAUCUAAGUAACCCGAGGAAAAGAAAGCAACCGCGAUUCCCUGAGUAGCGGCGAGCGAAACGGGAUCAGCCUAAACCCGGUGGGUGUGAUAGCCCGCAGGUGUUGCUCACCGGGGGUUGUAGGAGCCACCAGGCGUCUCUGCGGAGGCGCCAGGGAGUUACAAAACAGGUCGUUAGCCGAACCGGGAUGGAAAGCCCGGCCACAGAAGGUAACGGCCCUGUAGGCGAAAACGUCCUGUCUCCCGGUGGAAUUCCUGAGUACGGCGGGACACGUGAAACCCCGUCGGAAGCUACGAGGACCACCUCGUAAGGCUAAAUACUACCUACCGACCGAUAGUGAACUAGUACCGUGAGGGAAAGGUGAAAAGCACCCCGGGAGGGGAGUGAAAUAGUACCUGAAACCGUGUGCUUACAAACAGUCAGAGGGGGCUCGUCCCCUGAUGGCGUGCUUUUUGUAGAAUGAACCGGCGAGUUACUGAUACGCAGCAAGGUUAAGGGAUUACCGGAGCCGUAGCGAAAGCGAGUCUUAACAGGGCGAUUUUAGUUGCGUGUCGUAGACCCGAAACCGAGUGAGCUAUCCAUGGGCAGGGUGAAGCGAGGGUAAGACCUCGUGGAGGCCCGAACCCACUUCGGUUGAAAACGGAGGGGAUGACCUGUGGAUAGGGGUGAAAGGCUAAUCAAACUCGGGAAUAGCUGGUUCUCCCCGAAAUAGCUUUAGGGCUAGCCUCAGGUGUUCAGUCAUGGUGGUAGAGCACUGAAUGAGCUAGGGGGCUUCACCGCUUACCAACCUCAAUCAAACUCCGAAUGCCAUGACUCCAGAACCUGGGAGUCAGACUGCGGGGGAUAAGCUUCGUAGUCGAGAGGGAAACAGCCCAGACCGUCGGCUAAGGUCCCUAAAUGCAGGCUAAGUGGCAAAGGAUGUGGAAUUGCACAGACAACCAGGAUGUUGGCUUAGAAGCAGCAAUCAUUCAAAGAGUGCGUAAUAGCUCACUGGUCAAGUGGUUCCGCGCCGAUAAUGUAACGGGGCUCAAGCCUGCUACCGAAGCCACGGAUCUCUCCGGUCGUAAAACGCCGGAGGGGUGGUAGGGGAGCGUUCUCUGUGCGGCUGAAGCCGUGAUGCGAGUCGCGGUGGAGCGCAGAGAAGUGAGAAUGCCGGUAUGAGUAGCGAAAGACGGGCGAGAAACCCGUCCGCCGAAUGCCUAAGGUUUCCUGGGGAAGGUUAAUCCGCUCAGGGUUAGUCGGGACCUAAGGCGAGGCCGAAAGGCGUAGUCGAUGGACAACAGGUUAAUAUUCCUGUACCACCAGCCCAUGCUCGAGCGAUGGGGUGACGGAGAAGGGUAGGCCAACCGCGGCGAUGGUAGACCGCGGGUAAGCAUUUAGGGGGCCGCGUAGGCAAAUCCGCGCGGUAUUCAAACCCUGAGGUGUUAUGCCGAACCGUUUUUAGGUGAAGUGGCUGACCCCAUGCUUCCUAGAAAAGCCUCUAGCGAGUGGCGCUGGUGCCCGUACCAAAACCGACACAGGUAGGCAGGUAGAGAAUACCAAGGCGAUCGGGAGAACCCUCGUUAAGGAACUCGGCAAAUUGACCCCGUAACUUCGGGAGAAGGGGUGCCCCGGUAGGGUGAAGGGAUCUUUAUGACUCCCGGAGCCCGAGGGGGCCGCAGAGAAUAGGCCCAAGCGACUGUUUACUAAAAACACAGCUCUCUGCUAAGUCGUAAGACGACGUAUAGGGGGUGACGCCUGCCCGGUGCUGGAAGGUUAAGGGGAGGGGUUAGCGGCCUUCGGGUCGCGAAGCUCUGAACUGAAGCCCCAGUAAACGGCGGCCGUAACUAUAACGGUCAACCUAACAGGGCCGUUGUAAAACCUGGCUAUAUGCUGGAAACUCCGAGUAUCCCGCGCUACCUGUCACAGUGGCAUGCUAAGUUUGUAUUGGUGAUGUCAGUGACAGGUGAAAAUGCGACGGGUGCGGACAAUCAGCAGGAAAGACCUCCAGAUUACCUCCAGAAGUCAAGUGGACUGACACCAGGGUACAUCGUAGGUUUCAUUGAUGGAGAAGGUUGCUUCAGCGUAAGCGUCCACCCACAUCCUACAACCAGGAUAGGUUGGGUGCUGGAUCCUUGUUUUCAGGUUUACCAGCACAAGGACAACUCAGAGAUCCUUGAGAUGAUCAAGGAACACCUGGGAUGUGGACGCAUAACGGCGAAGGGCCCCAACAGCAAUGUCCUUACGUACUCAAUUGACUCGAGGAAGGAGCUCGAGCGGGUGUUGAUCCCACUGAUCGAUGAAAAUCCGAUUGUAUCGAGCAAAAGGAGCGAUUUCGAGAAGUUCAGAGAAAUCGUUCUCUCGAUGCAGAGAGGAGAACAUCGUGACAGGGAAGGCUUCGUUCGACUGGCUGGAAUUGCUUUCUCGAUGAACAAUCGGGGGAAGCAAAGAAAGUACACGAUCGAAGAGGUGUCUAAAGGAAUCCUCAGAGACUAUACGCCAGGCGCUCAGUAACGUAGCAGUCGCAGCAGAAACGUCAGAAAAGCUGAGCGAAGAUAUAGUCCGACCUCCAUGGCGACAUGGAGAGCCAGGCAGAAAUGACCUGGCCACCGACGGUAAGUCGGGAGUAACAAGAAUGCCUAAGGUAGCGAAAUUCCUUGUCGGGUAAGUUCCGACCUGCACGAAUGGCGUAACGACUUGGGCGCUGUCUCAACGAGGGACCCGGCGAAAUUGUAUUACCCGUGAAGAUGCGGGUUACCCGCAACAGGACGGAAAGACCCCGUGAACCUUUACUGCAGCCUGAUAUUGGAUUCCGGUACAUUUUGUGCAGGAUAGGUGGGAGACUUUGAAGCGGGGGCGCCAGCCCUCGUGGAGUCAACCUUGGGAUACCACUCUUGGUGUGCUGGGGUCCUAACCGAGAACCUUGAAGCAGGUUCCGGGACAGUGUCUGGUGGGCAGUUUGACUGGGGCGGUCGCCUCCUAAAAUGUAACGGAGGCGCCCAAAGGUUCCCUCAAGCUGGUCGGCAAUCAGCUGAAGAGUGUAAGGGCACAAGGGAGCUUGACUGCGAGACCUACAAGUCGAGCAGGUACGAAAGUAGGGCCUAGUGAUCCAACGGUUCUGAGUGGAAGGGCCGUUGCUCAACGGAUAAAAGGUACUCCGGGGAUAACAGGCUUAUCUCCCCCAAGAGUCCACAUCGACGGGGAGGUUUGGCACCUCGAUGUCGGCUCAUCGCAUCCUGGGGCUGGAGCAGGUCCCAAGGGUUGGGCUGUUCGCCCAUUAAAGCGGUACGCGAGCUGGGUUUAGAACGUCGUGAGACAGUUCGGUCCCUAUCCGUUGCGGGCGCAGGAGACUUGAAGGGAGUUGUCCCUAGUACGAGAGGACCGGGAUGAACAGACCUCUGGUGUGCCAGUUGUCAUGCCAAUGGCACUGCUGGUUAGCUACGUCUGGAAUGGAUAAGCGCUGAAAGCAUCUAAGCGCGAAGCCAACCCUGAGAUUAGGUCUCCCAUCCGGUAAAACGGAGUAAGACUCCUUGUAGACCACAAGGUGGAUAGGCCGGAGGUGUAAGCGUGGCGACACGUUCAGCCGACCGGUACUAAUCAGUCGAGGGCUUGGUCUG
rnacentral:rRNA from 1 species